rnacentral:rRNA from 1 species
GAUGAACGCUAGCGGCAGGCCUAACACAUGCAAGUCGAGGGAGGAGCCUUCGGGCUUCGGCCGGCGUACGGGUGCGUAACGCGUAUACAAUCUGCCUUUCACAUAGGGAUAGCCCGAAGAAAUUUGGAUUAAUACCUGAUGGUAUAUAGAUGUGGCAUCACCUGUAUAUUAAAGCUGAGGCGGUUACAGAUGAGGAUGCGUUCUAUUAGCUAGUUGGAGAGGUACCGGCUCCCCAAGGCUACGAUAGCUAGGGGUUCUGAGAGGGAUAUCCCCCAGACUGGUACUGAGCUACGGACCAGACUCAUACGGGAGGAAGUAGUGAGGAAUAUUGGACAAUGGUCGGAAGAAUGAUCCAGCCAUGCCGCGUGCAGGAAGACGGCCUUAUGGAUUGUAACCUGCUUUUGCAGGGGAAGAAUAAGCACUAAGCGUAGUUUGAUGACGGUAAUCUGCGAAUAAGCAUCGGCUAACUCCGUG